UCCCUUUUAUAUAGUAGGAUGAGGAGCACAAAUAAAGGAUGAGAUAAUGGGAAGCAAGUAGAGAUAGAGAGAGAGAGAGAUGGAUAGAAAUAGAGAAGCUAGAAGAGUACCUUUGGCGGCUGCCGGAAACGGCUUGUCACGGCGGAGGCAUAGAGCCGGAAGCUUCAGAGACUCUCCAGAGGAGGAAGGUCCGGUGGAGUUACCGGAGGCGGCGAGGCUGAGAGAUCGUACGAGGAAGGAACGAGAUCGGGAACGUGAUAGAGAACGGGAGCACAGGGAGAGAGAUCGGUUACAUAGCCGGAGCAAAAGGAGAAGAGGCGAACGUUUGAUAAUGGUUCACGACGGUGGCGACGACAGCUCGGAAGAGAGUGUCAACGACGAUGAAGAAUAUGAGAAUAUCUUCUCAUCGCCUCUUUCAAAUCACCAGAGGAAGAACUUUCCAACACCGCCGGCAAAAAAUUUCAGAUCGCCUCCUACUCCGGCGCUGCCGGUGCCGUCGUGGAAGGCGGCGGCGGAUGAGAUGAUCGGCGUAGCAGUUCCUAGAAAAGCACGGUCAGCUUGUACGAAGAGACCGCAUGAAUCAUGGACGUCAAAUGCUUCUCCAGCAGCUCCUACAUCUCCUUCUUCAUCCAACGUGAAAAAGAUUACGUUGGGGGCAAAACAGAAGCAGCCUCUUCCUCAGAAGGUAUCAUCAUCUCCGGUGGCUGUUCAAGAUGAGAUAGAGAUUGAAAUCGCGGAGGUGUUGUACGGGAUGAUGAGGAUGCCUACGUCGAAACAAGAAGAGAAAACAACUGUAGAUAUCAGAGCCAGAGUAUCUUCACCAAUCUCCAUCACACUAGCUGCAAAUUCGAGCUCCAUUGCUCCUAAGAGAAAGAAGCAGAGGCAUGUCAAAUACGAGGAGGACGAGAACAGUUCAGGUUUACCAUCACGCGCCACUAAAUUGGAAGCCGAAGCUCCGUUAGGUGAUGAGCUAAAGAGAUCAGGAUCCGGUGAAGAAAACAGCUCAGUGUUGGAUUCGAUAAAUCCAGAGCUCAGAGAAAGCAACGCCGCAUUAGAUUCGAGAUCAGCUGAGAAGAAAGAGGAGACUGUAUUGCCGAAAGUGGAAUCUUCUUCAGGAGUUAGAUCCGGUGGUGAUGUAGCUAAACCAAGCUCGCCGGAGAAGGAGAAGUUUGAGAUAGAUCUGAUGGCGCCACCGCCGGGAAGGUCUUCACCGGAGAGAGUCGGUGAGAUGGAAUGUGUGGCAGCAGAAGCGGAACCUAAAGUCACGGAAGUGGAAACGGAACCUAAGCCUCUGCUAAAGGAAGAUGGAGGUAGUGCUGCGAUUGUUGAGUCUGAGGAGAAGAAGAGACCUAGGACGGUGGAUGAAGCCGAACCUCAUACGUCAGAGAGGAGUUGUGAACUUAAACUUGACUUGGAUAAAUCUGAUCACGUGGGUGUAAUGAACAAUCAACAUGUUCAGAAACAGCCGCCACCGCAACAACAACAACAUUCUGUUCCGGAUAAAAUUGCUCAAGCUAACUCUUUGCCUCUACAUAUGUCAAUGCCUGGCUGGCCUGGAGGUCUUCCGACAAUGGGAUACAUGCCGUCUACACAAGGAGCUGUCCCUACAGAUACUAGUUCCUUAUCUUCGGCGGCAAUGCAGCCUCCUCCUCAUUUACUUUUUAACCAACCGAGGCCUAAGAGAUGUGCAACACACUGCUACAUCGCUCGAAAUAUUCAGUCACAUCAGCAAUUCACCAAGAUGAAUCCUUUCUGGCCUGCAGCAAUUGGCUCAGCUCCAUUGUAUGGGACCAAGGCCUGCAAUCUCAGUCUCAUGCCUCCCACAGAACUGCAGGGGACUGUUUUAGGAAGAAGUUCCAACCAAAUUCAAGAUGAAAACUCUCAAUCUUCUUCUAAGAGCUCAGAUACAGCUCAGAGAAACCAAAUAUUGCUCCAACAAGCUCUGCCUCCCGGAGCAGCAGCUAGUAACAUCAUGCAUGGUCCUACAUUCAUUUUCCCGGUGGGGCAACAGCCUACAAUAACUGCAGCAUCUGUCAGACCUCCUAAUAGUGGCAACACAGCUUCUUCUGGUGCGACAGCUAGUGCAAACUCAAUGAACGGUUCUGCAUCAGCUACUCCAGCUGGUGCCCCAACAAUGACCUUCAGUUAUCCAGGCAUGCCGGGCAAUGAAACCCAAUACCUGGCCAUCAUGCAGAACAAUGGCUUUCCGUUUCCAGUCCCAGCACAUGUUGGUGCACCACCUGCUUAUAGAGGAGCUCCCGGGCAGCCAAUACCAUUUUUCAAUGGUUCGUUCUAUUCCUCCCAAAUGAUCCAGUCUCCAUUUUCCCAGCCACAGAAGCAGCAACAGCAACCACAGCAGCAGCAAGCUGGUCAAAUGCUCCAGAGCCAUGCUCAGAACAACCAGAAUGGAAGUGUCUCCUCUGGUUCCUCAGCAGCACAAAAGCAUCUGCAGAACCAUCAGCUGAGACCACAAAGGAACUCCGAAGGAUAUCCAACUCAUAAAGUCCAAUCUCAGGUUUUGACUUUUCAGCAGAGGCAGCAACCAAGAGAGAAUGCGACUCAACAUAGCGACACUGUAGGAGAAAAUAGCCCAUCAGCCGCUGAUAGCCGGGGUUCUCGUUCAAACGUUGCCUAUGGCCAAAACUAUGGUAUGCAGAUGCAACCAACGAACUUGGGUUUGAUGAGUUCAGCAGCCCCAGGUGGUGGAGUCGUAGUAUCGUCCAGCAAUCAUGGCGAAAAGAAAUCUCAACAGCAGGUUUCAAAGGCUGGUGCGGAAUCGUUUCAGUCCCAGGGUUAUGCUAUGACCUUUGCCACAUUCAAUGGAAUGUCAUCAACUGCUCAGAAUCACGCUACGUUCCAGAGCCUACCAGAAGCAGCAAGGCAAGGUUAUCAAAUGAUGGCUGCGAAUGUUGCAGCCCAGCAGAAAAUGAACUACAGUGCUCCUUCAGAAGGAAAAUCCGGCUCUAAUGCUACUGCUAAGACUUUGGAAGAACAAAGAAAAACAGAAGGAGCAUCAGGGAAAACGAGUGGUGUGAAUGGUGGACAGUCGAUUGCUUUCUCUAGCAAACACGAUUUGGGUGAUGCAUCUGUUUCUGCUGUUACGAGUGGUAACAUCGUCGAUACGUCCCGUUUGCUCAACCUAGGUUCAGCUCAGCAACAGAGUACCAGUUCUAUGCCGACGUCUCAUCAUAAUCUGCAACAGAAGAUGAAGCAGCAUAUGCAACAGCAGAAUCACCACCUGCAGCAGCAUAUGCAACAGCAGAAUCAGCACGUUCAGCAGCAUAUGCAACGAAGUCAAUCUCAGCAACCUUAUACCAUGUAUCUCCAGAAGCAGCAACAGUAUGCAACUUCAGUCGCUGCUUCUGCUGCUAAAAACAAAGGGCCUGUGGUGAGUAAUGGUACUGGUGUCGCUGAUCACAGUAUCAGCGUAUCCCCAGUGGGAACCGCUAAGUUCCCAAAUGCCAAUUCAGGGUUUCCUCAAAACCUUGUCCAGUCAAGCAGCAGUCAGGUCCAGUCUCCUCAGUGGAAAAGCAAUUCACCCAGGACAACAAACACUUCCCAGGCUCAGUCUCCUUCCAUACUUUCGCCGUCAUCAUCUGUUGCUGCUUCGUCAUCCCCAAGAAACGUAUCGCAUAAACAGCAAAGCCGCCCCCAGCAGUCGCAGAUAUCUUUUGCAGCAAACUCAAAGCCUACAGCAACUGGUUCACCAAUGCAGCAGGUGCAAGGAGGUACCAACAAUCAGGCUCCGUCUUCUCCAAUGUUAGUUGGGUCACCUUCUACGUCUUCGGUCUCCAAAAACACUGGCGGGAGCCCAAGAACAACUGCUUCGGCUUCCUCAGCGGUGAAUAAAGCUGGACAAGCUUCCUCUACUACUCACUCGUCAUCUCAGCCGUCCAAGAAAAUGCAGCCUGCAUCCGUAGCUUCUUCUGCCGCCGUUGGAAGGAAUAACGGUCCUUCAGUUCUCGGAAACCCCACCACUAGCUCCGGAUCCAAGUCCCAACAACAGCAGUUGCCAAAGCAUGGGUUGCAGCAGCAAGCGCAGCUUUUCUUUUCCAAUCCUUAUAUGCAAUCUCAACAUCAACAGCAGCAGAUCACUAUGUCUUCUUCUGGUGGUUAUUACAUUCAAAGACAUCAGCAACAACCAGGUUCUGCAGCAGCGUGUCCUCCAGUUAGCACCACGGGAUCCGUUAUGGCCACUUCAGAUCCAGCGAAAGCCAUGGCUGCAGCAGCAGCAGGCAAUAACUUAAAAGGAGGAGGGAAGACGCAGCAACAUCAGCUGGGACCUCCUGGGUUCGGGCUCCCGUAUGUUCACGCGGUUCCCUGUGCAGUUCAAGUUAAACCUGUAGAUCAGAAGCAACAAUCGGGUGAGUGAAAAAGACCCCUAAAAAACCAUUUUUAACUCAAAACCUAAAAAAAAGAAAAAGCUCUGAAUGGUUUGAGAAGUUCCGGUGUAUAGCUUGUGCUGGCGAGAGGGAAGAGAAAGACGGAAGCAAGAAACAGACGGAACAGAUGAUCACUCACUAGGGAUAGACUAGUGUUUAUAUUAUCCUGACAGGAACCAAGUGUUUCGAUUCCUAGAAAAAAAGAAAAGAUUUAUUCAUUCUUCUUGUGGAGGUUUGAGUGGUGUCGGUGACGAUUUUAGGUAGUAAAAAGAAAAGAACAAGAGCUAACGAACGUUGUACUGAUGUGUUAUUGUUUUGGCCUGUUUCGUCGGAUCAUCAGUUAGUGGAUUAUAUGUAGUUAGCUGUUUUUAGUUGAAUUUUGUAUGUAAUGAAGCAUGAAACCGUAUGAUGAAUGUAUUGAUUAUUGUUAUUUAUUUAUGUUCUUUACGGUCA